rnacentral:rRNA from 1 species
GUGCCAGCAGCCGCGGUAAUACGUAGGCAGCAAGCGUUGUUCGGAAUUACUGGGCGUAAAGAGUGUGUAGGCGGUGCUCCAAGUCUGUUGUGAAAUCUCCCGGCUUAACUGGGAGGGUGCGGCGGAAACUGGAAUGCUUGAGGAUGGGAGAGGAAAGCGGAAUUCCUGGUGUAGCGGUGAAAUGCGUAGAUAUCAGGAGGAACACCCGUGGUGUAGACAGCUUUCUGGACCAUUUCUGACGCUGAGACACGAAAGCGUGGGUAGCAAACAGGAUUAGAUACCCUCGUAGUCC